GAGUUUGAUCCUGGCUCAUGAUGAACGCUGGCGUUUCCUAAUACAUGCAGCCGAGCGAACAGAUGGGGGCUUGCUCCUUUGACGUAGCGGCGGACGGCGAGUAUCACGUGGGUAACCUACCCAUAGACUGGAAUAACUCCGGGAAACCGGGGCUAAUGCCGGAUAAUAUUUACGAACCGCAUGGUUCUAAAGAGAAAGAUGGCCUUGCUAUCACUUAUGGAUGGACCCUGCGCCGAUUAGCUAGUGGUAAGGUAACGGCUUACCAAGGCAACGAUACGUAGCGACCUGAGAGGGUGAUGGCCACACUGGAACUGAACACGGCCAGACUCUACGGGGAGGCACGAGGGAAUCUCGCCAAUGGGCGAAACCGACUGGACCCCCGUAUGAUGAAGGUCUCCUUCCGUAAGUCUUGUUAUUAGGAAAGAACACUGCGUAAAGAACUUGCGCGUCUUGACGGCACCUAACAGAAAUCCCGGAUACCUAGUGCCAUCCGCCGUAUCUAAAGUGGCGCUAUCUAAUAUUGGCCGUAAACGCCCCUGGCCGGACUUUAGGCUUGGAAACCCCGCCUUAACCCUGGAUGGGGCAUUGAAAACUGCAACUUGGCGGCCAAAACGAAACGAGACGUUCCUCCCGGCGAAAGCGCAC
rnacentral:rRNA from 1 species